CCUACGGGAGGCAGCAGUAGGGAAUAUUGCUCAAUGGGGGAAACCCUGAAGCAGCAACGCCGCGUGGAGGAUGAAGGUUUUCGGAUUGUAAACUCCUUUUGGUAGAGAAGAAAAUGACGGUAUCUAACGAAUAAGCACCGGCUAACUCCGUGCCAGCAGCCGCGGUAAUACGGAGGGUGCAAGCGUUACUCGGAAUGACUGGGCGUAAAGAGCGCGUAGGCGGGAUAGCAAGUCAGAUGUGAAAUCCUAUGGCUUAACCAUAGAACUGCAUUUGAAACUGUUAUUCUAGAGUAUGGGAGAGGUAAGUGGAAUUCUUGGUGUAGGGGUAAAAUCCGUAGAGAUCAAGAGGAAUACUCAUUGCGAAGGCGACCUACUAGAACAUAACUGACGCUGAUGCGCGAAAGCGUGGGGAGCAAACAGGAUUAGAUACCCUUGUAGUC
rnacentral:rRNA from 1 species